rnacentral:ncRNA from 1 species
CCCGAGAAGGGCGAACACGUCGUAAGGCGUGGACGCAAAACCACGGGUCAGGGUUGGUCCCUGAUAGCCGGGUUGCCGAAG